rnacentral:misc_RNA from 1 species
UGGUUCUGGCAUCGAUGAAGAACGCAGCAAAAUGCGAUAAGUAAUGCGAAUUGCAGAAUUUCCGUGAGUCAUCGAAUCUUUGAACGCACAUUGCGCCCAUUGGUAUUCCGAUGGGCAUGCCUGUUCGAGCGUCAUUAUCCUCUCUCAAACCCCGGGUUUGGUGUUGGGCCGGUGUUGGUGUCACAACCAACUGGUCUCAAAAACAAUGACGGUGUCCGUGGGACCCUCUUCGCGACGAGCUUCUUCGGAGCAUGCGUAGAGUCUAAAGGACCUUCCGGGCCGGUCUCCUUAGUAUAUUUUCUCAGGUUGACCUCGGAUCAGGUAGGAAUACCCGCUGA